rnacentral:ncRNA from 1 species
UCGAACACAAUGAGAAAGAAGAGUAGCUGUUUUCAAGUUUCAGCGAGCCCUGUUAGGUGUGAGGGGGUAACAGUUGAAAAUAGUGAAAAUCACUUUCGAGUCCGCGCCAACCAAGGCGUGGUGGUAACACCCAUUAUCGUGUCUGCGUAUCGCCUUUUUGGCCGUACGUGCAGAGGCAGUCGUAGCAAUACGGCCGCGAAAAUAGGGUGGUAACACGCACCAGCGUCCCUUGA